rnacentral:lncRNA from 1 species
CUGAAAGCUAAUAGGCAGCUGCCAGCAGUGGAGUGACAGGAUAGAGAAACAACUGUAGAGGAGCAAGAGAUGAUGGUGACUCAGACCAAAGUGGAAGCAGUGGAGGCAGUACCUGAAACACAUUCAUCACAGUCAAAAGGAAGUGAAGAGACACAGAAGGGAAGCAAGAUACUGAGAUGCUGCCAAGUAUCCCAGAGUCCAUGAUGGAGUAGAGAUGAAACAAUAGACCCAGGUCAUUCCUCUGCUGGAGGUUCUGAGGCAAGCAGUAGUGCUCUGCAGAUGAACAUUCAUGACAACUUGCCUUUCAACUGGAGGUGUGUGACAGCCAGAAAAAUACCAUCGAGGUAAAGCUUUUUUCUCCUAGAGGAGCAACUGACUCACCGCAGCAUGUUGUUAUGUGGACCUCGAGUCUGUGGACUAGUGACCUUCACCUCCUUCAGUGUGUGGGUCUGUCCAGGGCUUCCAUCCCUCCAGUAAGAACCCUAACCCACAUUCCUGCAUUUGAUAACUUUGAGUUAAAUCAAGAAAAGCUUGGAAAUUUGGACAUAGUUGUUUAUAAGUCACUCAUAUUAUCUAUUAAAGUCUAAAAAUGUUGUAGUCCCUGAAUUUAGUAGAACAAUGUCUGUAGUGAGAGCAAAAAUCUUUCAGGGAAAGCUUACUCCUCCUGAUCUUCACUCCACAUACUUCACUGAUAUUGGACAACUAACCCUUUAAAAAGGUUUUGCUUGGGCUCCUUCAAAGCCAUGAAAAGUAC